rnacentral:rRNA from 1 species
AAAAGAAACUAACAAGGAUUGACGUAGUAAGGGCGACUGAACUGUCAAGAGCUCACCGUGUGAAUCAGCGUGCGCAAGUGCGCCGAAUUGUGGUUUGGAGGUGUGUGCACUAUUGCGCAGGGCAAAGUCCCUUGGAAGAGGGCAGCAUAGAGGGUGAUACUCCCGUUUGCCUUGUGCUUGGAGCGUAUACCAAUGAGUCGAGUUGUUUGGGAUUGCAGCUCAAAGCCGGUGGUAAAUUCCAUCGAAAGCUAAAUAUUGGUGGGAGACCGAUAGCGCACAAGUACCGUGAGGGAAAGAUGCAAAGAACUUUGAAAAGAGAGUUAAAGAGUGCCUGAAAUUGCUGAGAAGGAAGCGAAGGAAAGUAGUGAGAAGCUGCGUCAUACUUCCUGACCUGCUUGCUGGUCGGGCGCUGUGGUCAGCGAGGUUCAGCUCGGUUCGGUUGAUGUAAGUUGCAGCAGCAGCAGAAUGUUGCAGCUGCUUGACGUUGGCUGGACUGGGAGGAACGAAAUGGU